UACGUAGGGGGCAAGCGUUGUCCGGAUUUAUUGGGCGUAAAGAGCGUGUAGGCGGCUUUACAGGUCCGCUGUGAAAACUCGAGGCUCAACCUCGAGCUGUCGGUGGAAACCGUAAAGCUAGAGUCCGGAAGAGGAGAGUGGAAUUCCCGGUGUAGCGGUGAAAUGCGCGGAUAUCGGGAAGAACACCCGUGGCGAAGGCGGCUCUCUGGGACGGUACUGACGCUGAGACGCGAAAAGCGUGGGGAGCGAACAGG
rnacentral:rRNA from 1 species